GAGGGGCAGCGGGAAGGUUAGCUUGCUAAUCUUUGCCGGCGACCGGCGCACGGGUGAGUAACACGUAUGCAACCUGUCCGGUACAGGGGGAUAAGCGGCGGAAACGCCGUCUAAUACCGCGUGACAACCCGAGGGGGCAUCCCCUUGGGUUCAAAGGAGAGAUCCGGUACCGGCUGGGCAUGCGGCGCAUUAGCUAGUUGGCGGGGCAACGGCCCACCAAGGCGACGAUGCGUAGGGGUUCUGAGAGGAAGGUCCCCCACACUGGAACUGAGACACGGUCCAGACUCCUACGGGAGGCAGCAGUGAGGAAUAUUGGUCAAUGGGCGCAAGCCUGAACCAGCCAAGUCGCGUGAGGGAAGACGGCCCUACGGGUUGUAAACCUCUUUUGCCGGGGAGCAAGCCUGAGCACGUGUGCCCAGGCGGAGAGUACCCGGAGAAAAAGCAUCGGCUAACUCCGUGCCAGCAGCCGCGGUAAUACGGAGGAUGCGAGCGUUAUCCGGAUUUAUUGGGUUUAAAGGGUGCGCAGGCGGGCUGUUAAGCCGGCGGUAAAAAUUCAGGGCUCAACCCUGUCGAGCCGUCGGAACUGGCAGUCUUGAGUGGGCGAGAAGUAUGCGGAAUGCGUGGUGUAGCGGUGAAAUGCAUAGAU
rnacentral:rRNA from 1 species